CCUACGGGAGGCAGCAGUGAGGAAUAUUGGUCAAUGGGCGAGAGCCGGAACCAGCCAAGUCGCGUGAGGGAGGACUGCCCUAUGGGUUGUAAACCUCUUUUGUCGGGGAGCAAAAGCCGGACGUGUCCGGCUGUGAGAGUACCCGAAGAAAAAGCAGCGGCGAACUCCGUGCCAGCAGCCGCGGUAAUACGGGGGAUGCGAGGGGUCUCCGGAUUUAUUGGGGUUAAGGGGUGCGCAGGCGGGUUUUUAAGUCAGCGGUCAAAUCGUGGGGCUCAACCCCAUCCAGCCGUUGAAACUGGGGAUCUAGAGUGUGCGAGAGGUAUGCGGAAUGCGUGGUGUAGCGGUGAAAUGCAUAGAUAUCACGCAGAACCCCGAUUGCGAAGGCAGCAUACCGGUGCACAACUGACGCUCAGGCACGAAAGCGUGGGUAUCGAACAGGAUUAGAUACCCUUGUAGUC
rnacentral:rRNA from 1 species